rnacentral:lncRNA from 1 species
GGCAGUCGAGAUAAUCUAGUCCAGCAGGGAGAUUCUUGUUCCAGAAACAAUCUUCUACCACGAUCUCAUUUCUCCCUUCCGGAAAGUCAACGUCUGAACAUCCCAUUUUGAUUGCUGGGAAAUUUCUCAAAUUCGGGCAUCCAGUGAGAUUGAGGUACUCGAGAGAUUCCAAGUUGAGAUCGGUUGGAAAACUCUCUAGCUUUUUGCAAUCACUAAUAUCUAAAUAGAUAAGUUUAAUGGCAUUCUGCAUCGAGGAAGGAAAUGUCACCAAGGAUUCGCAUUUACAAAUAUCUACUUCCUCGAGGUUUAUGGCUAAAGAAAGAUCUGGAAUCUCUUUCAAAUAUUUGGAACCACGCAGAAACAUCUGCUUGAGUCUUCCAAGUGGCUAAUAACAAAAUAGGGGAAAAGAGAGUACACACGUUAGUGAACAUUUUAAACAGAUUCAUUUUAGUUUUUCUAACAGAUUUAUGUUUAGAAAUUGAUCACUAAUAGAAUUAGUACCUGAGUUCCAUCCCACAGCUUCUCAAGGUCACUAUUCUCCAUUCUGAGUUUAACCAGAUACUCAACCUUAAAAUUAGAAUGCAAACGCUUCAAUGGACAAUUAUUCCACAAUAGCAAUCUGAGUUUACUAGGGAAAUAAACGAUGCCCUGAGUGCCUUCCAUACGUGAGCAAUCAACUGAUAGAUAUUCGAGAUUACACAUGCCUUCUAAUGAUUUUAAAUCUAUUAAUAGCACCCCCGAACAAUAUAACGUCCUCAGUUUAAUGGCAUUCUGAAUCGAGGAAGGAAGUGUCACCAAAGAUUCGCAUUCAGAAAGAUUUAAUUCCUCGAGGUUUAUGGCUAAAGAAAGAUCUGGAAUUUCUUUAAAAUAUUUGGAAUACCACAAAUUCAUCUUCUUGAGACUUCCAAGGGGCUGAAAACAACAUAUGGAAAAAGAGAAUACACACGUUCACAAUUUUUUUAAAACAGAUUCAUUUGAAGCUUUUCUAACAUAUAUAUGUUCAUAAAUAUACCACAGUUCUAUUCUAAAAACUGACAACUAAUAAAAUUUAUAAUUCGUACCAGAGUUCCUUCCCACAGUUUCUCAAGCUUACUAUUCUUCAUUAUGAGUUUAACUAGAUACUCCGCCCUAAAAGUAGAUGGCAAAGACUUCAACGGACAAUAAACCCAUUCUAGCAAUCUGAGUUUAAGGGGCAAAUAAACGAGGCUCUGAGGUAGAUCCCCAUCUGACCAAUAACCAAUUUCUAGAUAUUGGAGAUUACGCAUGCCUUUGAAUAAUUUUUCAUCUAUUAAGAACGACCUUGUCGUAAGAUAUCCCGGGUGUGGCAAACGUAUUCCAAGAAGAAUUUCUGUCCCCUGAAAAAAAAUCCGAAGAAAACUAAUAUAAUCUUAACAAUCGCAACCUUUUUUUAUUUUUCUGACACAUCAAAGCUACGUUUUAAUUACGCAUGAGGCAACAAUUGCUUAAGUUUAUCAAUCCCCAAAUUACGAUUAUACUAGAUAUUGACCCGCGGUGUACCGCGGGUGGAUAUGUUCAUAGAAAAGUUAUACAUAUUUUUUAUACGAAUUAUUAUUUUUAUAUAAAUAAUAUUUUCUUAACACAUAAUUUUUAUUUAUGUAAAUCUUGGAUAAUUCAUGUUUUAUGUUCUCAUAUUUGUUAGUUUAAUAUUAAAAUUCAGUAUUUGUUUUUUUGGUUUGGGUUUUUUAGAGAUAAUAAAGAUCUAAAAUUCAUGUUUGGGGUCGAUAUUUUUAUCAGAAAAUUAAAUAUUUUUAUUUUAAUUAAUAUUAUUUAUAUAUAUAAUAUAUUCAAGAAGUACAUCAAAGGCCUAUAUUUUUAUUAAAUAAAAAAUAAUAUUUUUGUCUUUAAAAUGAUCUAUAGAUAUAUGCUAUUGUUUUUUUAUGUAUGAUACUAUGAUACACCUCUGUAUGAUUUUUAUAACUAAUUUUUUUUAAAAAAAUUAAAAUUUUUUUUAGUGUUUAAAAUUGUAUAAUUGUAUUUUGAUUGUUAAUUUUAGGAUUUCAUCCAUAGUAUAUCAUCCCGUAUCAAUAUCGAUCCAAACUCAUCCCACCAUAUAACCUCGUCCCGUGAAAUUAAAACUUCAUAAAAUUUUAAAAUCAUUAAUAUUUUAAAAAAAUUUAUAGACUUUAACUUUUAAAAAAGUUUAAAAAUUUGUAAUACUUAACUUUUAAUAAAGUUUCAAAAUAUAUAAUAUUUUAAAACUUUAAAACUUUUACUUAUUUAAAAUAAAGAACCAAAGUAAAACGAAAGCUCCUGCUCUUUCGUUUUCAGAAUCACUUUGGUCUUUUUUAUAGUAUAACUCUUAACGAUUUCCUCAUUUUUAAGCAAUGUGAGACCUUUAAAACUUAUUUUUUUUCAUCGAUGGAGUAUUAUAUGUUUGUUUUAAGAAAUUUAAAUUUCAUCAGAUGCAAAAAAAAUCUAAUAUUUUAUUAACUAUAUGUAUUUUAUAUAUAAAGUAAAAAAAAAUAGAUAUAAAAACAAAUAUAGUGACAGAAAAAUUAUAUAUUUAUAUUUAAUGUCGAUAUAUAGAUUUUAGAAAAUUAGCCUUAAUCGAAUAUAGUUCAAUAAAGAAAGAUUUAGUUAAGGAUAAAAAUUUAGGAAAGAGUUAAUUCAACUAAUUAAUGCAAUUAAGCUAAUUGUAAUUUUUUAGUUAUAAAGUAUUUGAUUGAGAUUAAAUUUGUAAGGACUAAUAUUGAAAAUAGUAAAUAGGUGAGGGAUUUUUGGCCAAAAACCCUACCAAAAAUGUAUAUGUAGAUUGACAUAAAGUCAUGCAUUACAACGUUUAAGGAGAUGCGAAAAACUUACAGUUUUCUCGGCCAAUACUUCUUGAAUAUCCUCAAAAUUUGUCAGAAAUUGACGUUUUCCAGGAUUACCCUUGGACUUUGCACGAUCAAUUUCUCUACCCAAUUUCUCUAGCAAAUUGUGCAUCUCUAUAUCUCCAUCCGGUGUAAUACGUAUGAGGGACUUCUCAACCAACAUUGUAAGCCCAACAUCAUCUUCAAGUAAUUCUUUGACGUUACUGACUUUAAAACCAUUGAAGAAACAUGCAAUGCACUUAAAUAACUCUCUAUUUUUUUUAUUUAACCUAUCGUAGCAGACUCUUAGUGUUUCCUCAAUUUUAUCAUCUGAGUCAUUUCGAAGCCUAGGCAUCAUCUUCACCCACUCAUCUUUGUCCCUUCCUUUUAGAGAUGAACCCAAGACACUGAGACCCAAAGGAAGACUACCAGCAAGCUCGGCAACUUCAAAUGCUAGUGCCUUAAAAUCAUCAGGUGGAGAGUCUUUCCCAAAAGCAUAUUGGGAUAUCAUCUGAAGAGCAAGACCUUGAGAUGGCAGCUUCACCUCAUAUACAAGGUCAAUCUCAUGAGCCUUGAGAAGUUGCCUAUCUUGAGUGAUCACAAUUAUUCUGCUUCCAGAUCCAAACCAUUCAGCUUUUCCCACUAAGGUCUUAAGAAACUCUAGAUUAUCCACAUCAUCAAGAAGGAUAAGAACUUUUUUGUGCUUUAAUCUUUGCUCCACCACACCAAAAUGAUCUAUCUUUAUGUCCUUUUGACCUAAGAUUUCCGAGAGAAGUUCUUUUUGCCAACUCAACUUCAUGCCAGAGACGUCACUACCGCUGGUGCUUUUGUAAGUUACGAAAGCGCGAAGGGGGAAUUGGCUAGAGAGUUGACUGAAAAGAGCUCUUCCUAUGGUACUCUUACCAAUCCCUGACUGUCCCCAAAUCCCGACCAUUAUUUUAGCUUCUUUGGAUUCCAAGCACAGUAUUGAUUUUAUUGCCUCUAUAUGAUCUUCAAUUCCGACUAAGUCACCAAAACCCUUUGGCGGAUGAAAAAGUUUAUUCGAAACAUCAUUGGCUAUCUUUUCAACCAUAUGCGCAUCAUUAGGCCUAAUAACAAUAGUCAAAUGUGUCAAUAAAGAGGCACCCUUAAAAGCACAUCCAAGUCUAUGCAAAAAAUAUUGUAUAGUUCUACGAUAAUUAUAAACACACACAUAAUUCAAAAAAAAACACACACAUAAAUAAUGGAAUCAAAACAACAUACCCGUUCCGAAGAUCCUCCCCGGCAAUAUUUGAUAUAUCUGUGAGAGCUUUAACCCAUCUUUGUUUCUGAUCUGCUGGUUUGUCCUCGCAUGUCUUUUUAAAGACCUUUCCAAAUUCACCGAUCUGUUUUCUAACAUGAGAAGGAUCAACGUCGUAGAAAACCGGUAUCACCUUUUGUCCAAAAUAUUUAGAGCAAUUGUCGAUUUCAACCAAUUCAUUCAAGCACCACGUGGAAGCAGCAUAGUUCUUAGAGAAGAUGACAAUUGAGAUCCUCGCUUCUCUAAUCGCCGAUAUAAGCGCAUCGGCGAUUAUGCAGCUUCUCUCGAUGACGUGAUCCAUGAAUGUAUUGAUUGAUCUGCGAUUGAGCUGCUUAAGAAGAUGGCUGAGGAAAUUCUUGCGAACAUCUUCCCCACUGAAGCUUGGAAAAAUGUCGCUGCCAGAAGAAGAAGCUGCCGCCAUGAAAGAUGAUGAGUUUGAGAUAGAAUAUCUUUAAAAGAAGUAAAUCAGCAAUACAUAAUGAUUAGUGUGCAGGAAGAGGAGAAAUCGUGCAUAGAAGACUUAUGCUGUGCGAAACGGAGUACCUUAUAUUCGCUGGGAAACGUGCUGUUAUGUACAAGAUUAGUAAUUUUUUAGUGGUUAAUAUCAAAUCUCCUAACAAGAGUAGGGUGACGACAGGCACAAUUAAGAUAAUAAAUAACUAGAUAACACAGAAACUUCGCCUUUCAUUCGUCGAAGAGUUGCAUAGAAGACUUAUUAUACAAGAUGUUUAUUUUACUGGUUAAAAUCAAAUCCCUUAACAAGAGAGUAUGGUGAGACACACCUAAUAUAUAAUAACAAUUUAACACAGAAACUUCGCCUUCCUUUUCUUGAAGAUUUGCAUAGAAGACUUUGUUCAAGAUAUAUUUUUUUAGAGGUUAAUUGAUAUCAAUUUUCCUAACAAAGUAUGAUGUAUUAAGACAUAAUAAUAACUUAAUAAGACAGAAACUUCGCCUUUCUUUCGUUGAAGACUCGCAUAGAAGACUUGCUAGUUGCUAUACAAGAUAUUUAUUUUACAGGUUAAAAUCAAAUCCCCUAACAAGAGACUAUAGUGAGAGACACAAUCAAGUUAUAACAAAUUAACACAGAAACUUCCUUCCUUUCCUUGCAGGCUUGCAUAGAAGACUUACUGUACAAGUUAUAUUUUUGUAGUGUAUGAUGACAGACACAAUAAUAAAUACAAAGAAACUUCGCCUGGCAUAGAAGACUUACUGUACUUCUAGUGGUUAAAAUAAAAUCGCCCUGAAAGAACUCAUAACUUUUUAGGCUACGUCAGCCGAGAAAAUUGCGACAGGAGAGGCGACUAGGGUUUUUUUCUUUUGCCGCACGCGAAGGGUUCCUAGCAGUCAGCCACCGAAUCUAUGUUCAGAAGGAGAAAGGGAAUUAUACAACGAUGUUCCAUCGCCAUGAAAUUUGCUUGAAGAAACUGAUAACAGUAGUAUCAUACUUAUAGAAGAAGACAUCUGGAAAGUUCCAAAUUUGGAGCCGUCAAGCUUGUGUUUGCUACUGUUUUACCACAGAGUAAGUUGGAAGGUUCUUCAUAUGUUCUUACCGUAAUCUGCAUAAUAAAAUCAAAUCUAUUAAAUUCCUUUGGUCUAUUUUGCAGGUGAUCCUGAAAAUGAAUCAAGAGUUAGAUAUGUAAUUUUCCGUUCAAUAAUUCAAAGCUUCACCCGCUUUAGCUUCUUGCUUCUCCCAUUGACUAUGUCACUUUCUCUAGAAUGUUGGUUGUUCUCAGUUUGAGCGCUCGUACCACUACCAUCCUCAGAUGGAGAGGCAUCUAAAUGCCGUACGCUGAAUUUUUUUAUCCUCUUAAACGACAAGUUUGCGUGUCGUGGUCAAGCCCAAAUUUGACACAAGAACAAGCAUUGCUAUGAUAUUCAAACUUGAAUUUCACAUCGUUGUAGUCCAAUUCAUAUGGAUAACCAAAGACUUCUUCUGAAGGGCAAAACUCAGAGCGGAACACAACCAUAAUGUACUAGGUAAGAUUUUUGAAUUAGAUUGUGCUACUUUGAAUUCCGAUGGUGUUUUUUGCAGCGUUCUAUUCUUCUAAUCAUUAUAUACUUUGUAAGAAAUAAGUAGUUUAUAAUCAAUUCUUUGCGAAAAAAUUAGUAUAGCAAGCAAAAUAAUUUACGUUACUAGAUUUCAAAUCCCAAUUUGAGCGGGAAGUCCAUCUAGUUUGAAGCUAAAAGGCUUUAUGACAAAUAUACUCUAACAAGCUUGCAGGCCAAGCAAAUCAUAUUAGAAGCAAAAGAAAGGUCGAGAAAAUAUCUUAGGAACAUCAUUAAUGAAUGAGUUUAAGGAGAAUGUUACCUGGAUUACUUCCCAUAACUUCUCAAGCUUGCUACCUGGCAUUGUAAGCUCUGCGACACAUUCUGCAUGACAUUUAGACGGUAAAUAUUUUAUUGGACAAUCAAUCCAAACGAGUUCAGUGAGACCAAAGAUAUUCCCAAUAAAGAAACAAUCUAUGUCUUCUCUGAUUGCAGUUUCGUUUAGAUGGAGCUCUGAAAUGUUCUUUGAAAUUCGAGGGAAACAUCUCAAACUUGAACAUCCCCUGAGAUCGAGGUGUACUCUAGAGAUUCCAAGUUAACGCCGGUUGGGAGAACUUUUAGAUUUUUGCAUCCUUGCAUUUCCAACCGCCUCAGUUUAUUGAGAUUCCGAAUUGAAGAAGGAAGCAUCACUAAACUUUUGCAAUCGUUAAGUUCCAAGUGGUCAAGAUUGAUGGCCGUUGAAAGAUCUGGAAAUUCUUUCAGGUUUUCACUUCCUGACAAAUCCUUCCUCACCAGACAGACUCCUUCCCACAACUUCUCAAGCUUGCUAUUCUCCAUUGUGAGUUUAAUCAAAAUUUCAGCCCUAAAAUUGAAACACAUACUCGUCAACGGAUAUUCAUCCCAAUAUAGCAAUCUGAGUUUUCGGGCCAAAUAAAUGAAUCCCUGAGGUAAACACAAUCUGCUUUCACCAGUCUCUAGCGAUCGACAACUCCUUGUAAAAUUUUAGAAAUGUGAGAUUACACAUUCCUUUGAAGAUUGUCCAUUUACAAACAAUCUAUUUCUGAGAUUACACUCAUCGAUUUCUGUUGUGUUGAAAGACAUGCCUAGCACAUUUUCAGUUCCUGAAAAAAAAACAUUAGUAUUUUACAACGGUCACAAUAAUCUAUUACGUUAUAGAUGACUCUCUUCGAUUCAUAUGGAGUAGUGUACUCAAACAUGAAAAUCAACUGACCCACCUUCCUUCUUAGUGGGUCCGCCACUGAUCAACAAGCAAGUUCUUGAUAUAAUCAACUUUUUGAUCAUUAAGUAAACACGCAAUGUAAAGGAAGACUUCUUCUUACUCCUUCAUUGUGCCUUCUCAGAACAGGUUUGGUUUCUGGUUCUUCACAGACUAGGAUUACCACAAUGUACUUUUGUUGAUUGGUCUACUGUCAUCACUUGGCUCCUGACCAAAUCCCCUUCCCUAUCAAAUGCUUUGAAACGCAUUUCUGCCCAAGCCACUAUCUACCUGCUCUGGCGAGAAAGGAACAAUCGCUUACACAAUGAUCUUUCCUCUUCGGUCUCUGUGAUCUUUGGUCAGAUUGAUAGGAAUAUAAAGGAUACUCUUCUUGCUCGUCAGUACAGGAAAGGUUGUGGGAGACUUCUAUCCCAAUGGUUUUCUUAUAGUUAACAUAUCUAUUCUAUUGAUCGAUGUUUCAAUCAUGGCUUUUUAAUUUUUUUUGGGCCUUUGAAACUGGCUGCCUUUUGGCAUUGUAAAUAACAUUUCCACUUUCCUUCUAAGGUAAUAUAUAUUCACAAGUUAUCAAAAAAAAAAAAAAAAGGGAAGACUUCUUUAUCUUUGUCAUCUAACUUAUCGUAGCUGACUCUUAAUGUUUUCUCAAAUUUUCCGUCUAGACCAUUUCGAACCCUAGGCAACAACUCCAUCCAUAGUCCUUGUCCUUUCCUCUUAAUGAAGAAACCAAAAGAUUGAGACAUAAAGGAAGAUUACCGAAAAGUUUUGCAACUUCACGAGUUAAAUUCACGAAACCAUCUGGUGGAGCGUUUUGCCCAAAAACACAUCGACAAAACAUUUGUAGAGCCAAAAUUAUAUUUCAGAUGGAAAAUUCAGUUCAUAAACAAGGUCAAUCUUAUGAGACUUGAAAAAGUUUUUUUUAUCUUUACUUAUCACAACAAUUCUGCUUCCAAUCCCAAACCAUCCAGUUUGUGCCACCAAGGUCUUUAAUAGCUCAAGAUCAUCAACAUCGUCAAUAAUUAUAAGAACUUUCUUGUGCUUUAACCUUUGUUCCACCGCACAUAAAUGCAAAACCUUUAUGUCCUUUUGACAUAAAAUUUCUGAUAAAACCUGUUCUUCUCGGUUGGUUUAUAAGUUACGAAAGCGCGAAGGGGGAAUUGGCUAGAGAGUUGACUGAAAAGAGCUCUUCCUAGGGUACUCUUACCAAUCCCUACCAUUCUAGCUUCUUCAGAUUCCAAGCACAACAAUGAACUCAAUCUCUCUAAAUGAGCUUCAACACCAACGAAAUCACCUAAAUCACUCGAUGGUGUUAUGAGCUUAUUCGGAACAUCGUUGGAAAUUGUUUCAAUCAUGUUUGCUUCAUUACACCUAAAAAUCAAUACUCAAAUGUCAGCAAUGAACACUACAAUCGGAGUCUUAAGCCUAAUCAAACAAAAAUUUGAAAAAAAAAAAUACCAGUUUCGAGAAUCCUCUCCAGCCAUAUUUGCCACAUCUGCUAGAGCUUUCCUACACCUUUGUUUCUCAUCAUCUGUUUUGUUCUUGCAUGUCUCUUCAAAGACCUUUCCAAAUUCUCCGGUCUGUUUCCUAACAUCAGAAUGAUCAACCUCGUAGAAAAUCGGAGUCACCAUUUGAUCCAAGUUUUUAAAGCACUUGUGGAUCUCAACCAAUUCAUUCAAGCACUAGGUGGAAGAAGCAUAUAUACUUGUUAGAGAAGACGACGAUUGAGAUCCUCGAUUCUCUUAUAGCCAAUAAAAGCUCUGGGCCGAUUGGGCGGCUUCUCUCGAUCUCAUGGUCGAUGUGUAUUGAUUGAUCUGCGAUCAAGCUUCUUAAGUAGAUGGAUGAUGAAUGAAUUACGGACAUCUUCAUCGCUGAAGCUCGGAAAAACGACGUAUCUCUUGCUGCGAGAAGAAGAAGAUACUCUAAACCUCGACAAUGACUAUACGACUGGGGAUGAGAUGGAUCUGGAUGAGGAGAAUGAAGAUGAAGAACAAGCAGGCCUAGAUUCACUUGCUAGUACAGCUAAUAACAAGGUGAAAGGUAGACGUAGACGUAAGCGUUUCAAAGUGCUUAAUAAUUAGAGAUAAUUUUAGUACCACAAGGAUAAUUUUAGUACCAUUGGAACUAAACUGGAAGAUCAUUAUGAGUGAUGUGCAAUGCAAAUACUGCAAUCAUACUUAUUGCUUAGACCUACGUAGAAGUGGUACAACUACUAUGUUGCGUCACAUGAGAGUUUGCUCAAAGACUCCUGGAAGUACACCUGCAACUGGAAUAAAAAGCUUGAUAUGAUGGUGUUUAGGGAGAUGAUUGGAUUAGAUUAGCAAUAAUUGAGCAUGAUUUGCCUUUUUCUUUUGUUGAGGACAAAAUAAUUAGAGAGACAUUUCUCUAUGCUAAUUCUAGCAUAUAAUUUUGGAGUAGGAACACCGCAACUUUUGAUUUCAAGUAUUGGACCGAGCUAAUGGACAUGGACAGUCCAUUUCGACAGCUCUAGCUUUGGAUGAGACUUGAUGGUUUGGAAUUGGAGUUGACUCCUUCACAAAGUUUUAAUAGUUCUUCCUUGCAUGACACGGAAAAGGCUAUCUCCUUUUUUCACCACCUGAAGGGUUGCUUCUUGUACUGGUCACAUGUUUGGCCGAGGUUAAGUCACACGCUAUUGAAUCAGCGAUCCAACACUUUUUUUUUUUUUUGUUGUUGUUGUUAAUUCUCUUGUGAAUUUGCAAUAUACAAUUUUGUUUACCCAAAUUCUAAUUUAUUCUUUGCUUUAAAACAAAAAAAAACUUUGCUCACAUACAUGUUAUCAUUAUCGUCGAGAUAUAUGUUUUUUUAAUAAAGACAAAGACUAUUUUGGGUAGUACCUGACCUGAGUCAAGUAUGUAAAACCCUAAGAUCACAAAUUCAAUGUCUUUUCGACUAAAACAGAUAAACAGUACGGUACAAUACAAAACAUCCCAAUGAUAUCUUUCCAGAAUAUAAUGUGCUAUGGCUUUUUGAAAGAUGUAUUUAUUCUUUUAGGAAAAGCAAAAUUCUCAAAGAAGCAAAGACAGAUAAGUAAGAACAGAGUGCUUCACUUUCAGCUAAAGAAGAAAUUACAAACAUUUUCAUCAGGCUCCGGAGUUGGAGACCUAAAUGGAUUCUAGACUUCUGGUUCUCCAAAAGCUCUCCGUUACCUGAAGAAAAGAUGGCUUGCGUUAAAGCUAUGUAAUCGUCUUGUCAUUAUCAGUAUAGUCAUGGUCAAUCCCAAGUUGAUCCUAAAACAGAACAAAACAGAACUGGAAGAUGUUUUGAUUACAUUAAAAAGUUGAUAAGCUCUGGGAACAACGAAGGAUCCGCGGUAGGUGUUUCUAUAUAUUGUUGUUCAGUUAUCAUUGGAUCAAUACACAAAACUUCUUCCUCUAGACAUGGUUGGGAAAGACACAACGAUGCUCCAUCAACAUGAACGUUGCUAGAAGAAACUGAUGAAAACCUGGGUGGAAGAACUCCCCUGCCAAUAACGAAAGCUCCAGAUUUGUAGCGGUCAAUUCUGUGUCCGCUUCUAUUUGGCCACUUGGUAAGUUGAUAUAUUCUUCAGAUGUUCCUAUUAUCAUCUGCAUUAUAAACCAAACUAUCUAUCCUACGAAACUGUUCAUCCUCCAAAAAAAUCAAGAGACAGCUAUGCAACUUUCAGAUCAAAACUGGCAAAAGGCUUACCCGCAUCCGCUUCUUGCUUCUCCCAGUCUCUACUACAACAUCAACUUUUUCUACAGACUAUUGGUUGUCCUCUUUUUCAGGAGAGACAUUCAAAAUUCGUACACCGCAUCCCUUUAUGCUCUCCUUGGGAAUAAACACAAAUUCCAAAUUGUUGUCUGAUUUAGAUGGAACGUCUAUAGGCGGGAACUUGAAGGAACCCAAAACCAUAUGAUCCGUAUUACACAACGUCAUCGUACCAUGAAAUACUGUCUCCCAAAUAUGUAGGAACUUCUCCACCUGGUAGGACCGUCUUGACGUAUGAUCGUAGGAUGAGUUCCUGCGCAUCUCCAUCCAAUUUGAAACAAUUAAGGAGAUAGAAAUAUUCUCUUCUCAUCAAGUCGGCCAUUUGAUGGCCGUGCUUGUUUAAAUUUACUGUCAAUGGUUUCUAGGAAAUGCGAAAGCGUUAAAGAAGCAACCACAAGGAUGUAAGAACAGAGUACUUCUGCCUUCAGCCUUCAGCUAAAGAAGAAAUUGCAAACAUUAUCAUGCUCUGGAGUUGGACUCUUUAACGGAUUCUGGUUUUUUUUAAGUAGUAACCCCUGCAGGAAAUUAUUGCUUUGAUAAGCCAAACUCCACUAAGAGCUUGAUGCGCUUGAUGAGCUUGAUGACCUGUCCAACAAGCAAGAAAAGAGUCAAUGUUGAGAGUUGAAAGUAUAUAUAGAGUCUCUAAUCUCUGAGAGGUUAUUCAAUUAGUGAAUUGGUGUGUUUGUUAAGACUCCUGCAUGAGUCUCUUGGGUUGAGGAUUCAGAGCCCGAAACUCUGCAAUUCUCUUCAUUGUGUGACAGAUUCUUUGAUAGAUCAAUAAAAGAUUGCUUGUUUAUUCUUGUCAAGCUUGUGUGAAAAACCUAUGAAAUCAUCUUUUCAUUAUCACUAUAGUCAUGGUCGAUCCCAAGUGAUCCUAUAACACAAAAAAAAAACAGAAUAGUAAGAUGUUUCAGUUACCAUAACUCCCACUCCCAAUCCACAUUAGCUAUAUGAAUUUGUGCAUCUUGUUGUUCAGUAAUCAUGGAAUCAACACACAAAGCUUCCCCCUCCAGCCAUGGAUUAAAAGAAACUGAUGAUGAUUCUCCCCACCCUAACGGAACAGUGUCUGUUACUAUUUGGCCACAGGGUAAGUUGAAAUAUUUUUCAGAGUUUCCUAAUGUCAUCUGUAUAAUAAACCAAAAGAUGGAUUCUUUUAGAUAGUUCAUCCCUGAAAAAAAACAAUCAAGAGAUAGCUUUAAUAGUUUUCAGUUCAAAAUAAUGGCAAAAGGCUUACCCGCAUCCGCUUCUUGCUACUUUCAGUCUCUACAUCAUCACAUUUUUCUCCAGACUGUUGGUGGUACUCUGUUACAGAGUCUCCAUCACUAUCAUCCGGAGAUUCUGUUUCAGAGCUUCCCUCACUAUCAUCCGGAGAUGUAGACACAUUCAAGAGUCGUAUGCCGCAUCUUUUUACUCUCGUCCCGUUAAACUUAAAUUCCACAUCAUUGACGUCUAAUUUAGAUAGAAGACCUGUAGGCUGGAACUUGAAGGAACACAAAACUAGAUGAUCCGUCUUACACAUCAUUUCCAUGCCCUCAUAUAUUGUAUGUCUAUAAUGUUCGCCAUUGAACUGAAAGAGUACGUCCAUGCAUGCAAAAGAAUGGGUUAUAGGUUCAACCACGAGACAAGCAUUAAAUCGCAAGAAUUUAUGAGAAAGAGAGCUCUGAGGCAAAGUGACAGUUAGGGAAUUUCCAUAAGCUUGAUGCUUAAAAUAUGUAGGCACUUCUCCACCUGGUAAGACCAUAGUCGUCUUGAAGCAUGAUCCUAGGAUAAGUUCUCGCGCAGCUCUAUCCAAUUUGAAGCAAUUCUGGAAUUUAAAAUAUAUUUCUCCAUACUCAUCCUCGUCAUCCUCAUCCUCGUCAUACUCAUACUCAUACUCAUCCUCGUCAUCCUCAUCCUUGUCACAUUUAGGUCUCUUUUCGACCUUAUUUAUCUUUUCAUUGUUUUGAUCUUCCAUUGUUGUCACCGGAUCACUCAACGCUGUGAUGACACCUCCACAGUCUGUAAAGUCGACCUUCAUAAGCCUUGUCAGUCUGAAAAUGUUCGGGGAUAUGUUUUUCAACAUUUUGCAACCACUCAUAUUUAGUACCUUGAGCCUCGAAAAUUUCUCAAUGAAGCAGGGAACUUGUUCAAUGGCGGUGUCAGCUAGAUUGAGUUCUUGAAUACUAGUUGAAAUCUGAGGAAAUCUUCUCAACGACUUGCAACCACGCAUCGAUAAUUCCAUGAGCCUCGAGAAAUUCUCAAAACAUGGAACUUCUUCAAUGGCAGUGUCAUCUAGAUUGAGUACUGCAAUACUUUUUGAAAUCUGAGGGAUAAAUCUCAAACUUGAGCACCCUUUGAGAUGGACUGUAUGGAGAGAUGACAAGUUGAUAUCCAUAGGAAGAACCUUCAGCCCUGUGCAUUCUUCCAUAUUUAACGUGUAUAAUUUUUGGAGAUUCCCAAUUGUAGAAGGUAACAUCACCAAACUUUUGCAAUUUGAGAGAUCCAAAAUCUCCAGAUUGGUGGCCUUUGAAAGGUCUGGAAUUUCUAUCAUGUUUUCACAUUCUGACAGAUCCACCCUCUUGAGUUUCCCAAGCGACUGAAACAGAGUAAAACAUUGUUAUGCUUUUCUUUUUUCUGAAUGUAAAACGUUGUUAUGCUUUAAUCAUUGUCAAUACUAUAUCUGUUUAGUGUUAUAAUCAAGAACAAGACAUAAUUUUGUAUAUAAUACACGUAUAAAUCGUACCUGGACGCCUUCCCAUAGCUUCUCAAGCAUGUUGUUGCCUCUCACUGUGAGGUUUUUGAGAUGUUCUGGGCGAAAUUUACUUGGAUUACAUCUCCUAAGGCAAUCGAGAUAAUCGAGUCCAGGGAGAUUCUUGUUCCAUAAACAAUCUGCUACCUCGAUCUCAAUUUCAUCUGUAAAGAUGAAACUUUGCAUUAUAAUCUCAGGGAAAUUUCUCAACCGGGGGCAUAGUAGGAGAUUGAGGAACUUAAGAGAUUCCGAGUUGAGAGGACUUGGAAAACUUUCUAGCACUUCGCAGUUACAAAGAUCUAAUUCCUCGAGGUUUGUGGCUAAAGAAAGAUCUGGAAUUUCUUUCAAAUUGUUGGAAUUCCUCAAAUUCAUCUUCUUGAGACUUCCAAGAGGCUGAAAACAACAUAUGGAAAAAGAGAAUAACACAGAUUUAUUUAGAUUGUUUAACAAAUAAAUUAAUAAAAAUAACACAGUUCUGUUUUCAAAUAGACAACUCGAAACAAUAAAGAAUUAGUACCUGAGUUCCAUUCCACAGCUUCUCAAGGGCACUAUUCUCCAUUCUGAGUUCAACCAGAUACUCAGCCUUAAAAUUAGAAGGCAAACGCUUCAAUGGACAAUUUUCCCACCGUAGCCAUUUGAGUUUACGUGGCAAGUAAACGAGGCCGUUAGGUAGACGCAAUCUGGUUUCUCUCGGUUGCCACCAGUAAUGAUCAUGAAUAUUUAGAAAUUGGAGAUUAAGCAUGCCUUGGAACGAGUUUUCAUCUAUUGAAAUAAAUGGCUUAUCGAUUUGUGAAUCUGAUGACGUGCUGAAAUCUAUUCCGAGCAAUUUUUCAGUGCCCUGACAAAAAAAAAAAACCCAAAGAAAACUGUUAUCCUCAAGUACCAAACUAAAUCAAUGUUUUUAACAUCAAAAGCCAAUCGUUGAAUUAAUAUAAAGUGGUGCAUUAAGCUGCAAAAACUUACGGUAUUAUCGGUAAAUACGUCUAGAAUUUCCUCAGCAUUCUCCAGAAAUCGACGUUUUCCAGGAUUACCAUUAGACUCUUCACGAUCAAUUUCUGUAGCCAACUUCUGAAGCAAAUUGUGCAUCUCUAUAGUAUCAUUCGGUGUUAAACGUAUGAGGGACUUAUCAUCCAACGUUUUGAGCCUAAUGUUAACAUUAACACCAUCUCCGAGGAAGUCUUUGAUGGAUUUGACUUUCCAACCAUUGAAUAACCAUGCAAUGUAAUGGAAUAUAUCUUGAUCUUUUGGAUCUAAUCUAACGUAGCUGACUCUUAAUGUUUUCAUAAUAUCUCUGUUCAAACCAUUUUGGAGCUCAGCCAGCAUCUCCAUCCACUCUUCUUUGCUCCUUCGUUUUAAAGACGAACCAAGGACACUGAGACCCAAAGGAAGAUUACCGGCAAGCUUUGCAACUUCAAAUGCUAGUUCCUUAAAAUCAUCAGGUGGAGAGUAUUUCCCAAAAGCAUAUUGGCAUAUCAUCUUAAGAGCAAGACCUUGAGAUGGGAGCUUCACCUCAUAUAUAAGGUCAAUCUCAUGAGCCUUGAGAAGUUGCCUAUCUUGAGUGAUCACAAUUAUUCUGCUUCCAGAUCCAAACCAUUCAGCUUUUCCCACCAAGGUCCUAAGAAACUCUAGAUUAUCCACAUCAUCAAGAAGGAUAAGAACUUUCUUGUGCUUCAACCUUUGCUCCACCACACCAAAAUGCUCUAUCUUUAUGUCCUUUUGACCUAAGAUUUCCGAGAGAAGUUCUUUUUCCCAACUCAACUUCAUGCCAGAGACGUCACUACCACUGGUGCUUUUAUAAGUUAUGAAAGCGCGAUGGUGGAACUGGCUAGAGAGUUGACUGAAAAGAGCUCUUCCUAUAGUACUCUUACCAAUCCCUGACUGUCCCCAAAUCCCGACCAUUAUUCUAGCUUCCUUGGAUUCCAAGCACAGUUUUAAUUUUAUUGCCUCUAUAUGAUCCUCAAUUCCGACUAAGUCACCAAAACCCUUUGGCAGAGGAAAAAGUUUAUUCGAAACAUCAUUAGCUAUCUUUACAACCAUGGCUGCUUCACUAGGCCUAAUAACAAUAGUCAAAAUUGUGUCAAUAAAGAGGCACCCCUAAAAGCACAAUCGAAGAUUCGAAGUGAACGCCAAGAAAAGAAAAAAAAAAGUACAGUUUUGCAAUAAUUAUAAACACUCAUAGAAAUAGUGGAAUAAAUAAAACAUACCCGUUCCGAAGAUCCUCCCCGGCUAAAUUUGAUAUAUCUGUGAGAGCUUUAACCCAUCUUUGUUUCUGAUCCUCUGGUUUGUCCUCGCAUGUCUUUUUAAAGACAUCGCCAAAGCCACCGAUCUGUUUUCUAACAUGAGAAGGAUCAACGCCGUAGAAAACCGGAAUCACCAUUUGAUCCAAGUCUUUGUCCUUGUGACACUUGUGGAUCUCCACCAAUUCAUUCAAGCACCACGUGGAAGAAGCAUAGUUCUCAGAGAAGAUAACUAUUGAGAUCCUCGCUUCUCUAAUGGCCGUUAUAAGCUCAUCGGCGAUUAUGCAGCUUCUCACGAUGCCGUGAUCCAUGAAUGUAUUGAUUGAUCUGCGGUCGAGCGCCUCGAUUAGAUGGCUGAGGAACGUUUUGCGAACAUCUACCCCACUGAAGCUUGGGAAAACGUCGUAUCUCCGGCUACUAGGAGAAGAAGAAGAAGAAGAAGAAGAUGAGCUCAGGGUCGUGGUGGAGGUCGGUGGUUGUGGCCAGUGGGUGGGAAGGGUGGAAGCUAGUUUGUAUGUAUGGGGCUGAGGUGGUGCUGAGUUAUGUUGUAAUCACUGUUUUUUACUCUGAGUGUAGGAAACGCCAUGGUAGCAGUGAUGCAAUUGUUGCUGAUGAGGUUGCUAUUUAAAACUUUUUUGUUGUUGAUAGUUCUCUUGUGAAAUUGUGAAAUACAUUUUUGUUUACCAAGAUUAUGAUUUAUUCAUUGCUUUAAAGAGAGGAAAAUAACAUUUCGUAGAGAGAGAUAUGUGUUUCAACAGACAAGACUGUUAUAUUCACAUCUUUCAGGAGAAGCGAAAUUUUCAAAGAAGCAAAACAGAGAAGUAAGAAUAGAGUACUUCUGUUCUGGACAUGGAACCAUAAAAGGUUUCUAGCUGUCAGUAAGUGUUCCAUCAUCUGCAGGAGAAAAUGGCUUGUGUGAAAAACUAAGAAAUCGUCUUGUCAUUACCAGUAUAGUCAUGGUCGAUCCCAUGUUCAUUAUGAAACAGAGUUGUAAUACGUUUCAGGUCACCUUAACAAUGUGAUAAGCUGUGGAGACGGCUAAGGAUCCAGGAAAGGAAUCUUAACAAUGUGAUGGUGUGAAUUCAGUCAAGGCAGAUCUUAACUGAUCAGGGUCAGCAGUGAAAGGUGUCGUCCCCAUCAGACCAAACGUCUAUCAUCUUAGGCCCUCGAUGCAAAGAUCUGAAGCAAACCAAUUCAGUCAAGAACAGCCCCAGAGAAUGAGCUUCCUAUCCUAGAUGUUCUAGUGAGUAGUUCAGGCCUACAACUUUCACUCUUUAUCAUAUAAUUAAAGAGUGCAGCGGGAUGGGGGAACAGCAGCGACAUGUUUUCUCAUCGACGUAGGAUAGCUGGAUGAUACUUCAUGGUUUGGAAGUGGACCAGACAAUGUCUCCUGCAGAAAGUUUAAAAGCUCUUUCCUUCAGCUGAUGGAUUGUUCCUUAUGCUGGUCACAUCUUUGGCCAAAGUUAGGCCAAAAACGCUUCUGCCUUUUGGCUAUUGAAUCAGCAAUGCAAAUGUUGUUGAUGACAAGGAUCUUGCUAUUUAAAAUUAGUUCCAACACACUCUUGUUGUCAAUUCUUUUGUGAAUUUGCGAUAUACAUUUUUGUUUACGCAAAGUCUGAUUUCUCUAUUCAUUGCUAAUAAAGAGAAAAACAACCUGUGCUAAUAUACACAUUGAGAUCUAUGUUUCAAAGAAAAGGCAGACAAAAUGUUCAAAGCAAACAGAGUGUUUCUGCAUUCAGAUAAAGAAGAAAUUACAAACACUUUCAGGCUCCGGAGUUGGAUGAUUAAACGGAAUUUGGUUCUCCAAAUAUCAUUCUGCAGAAUAAAAUGAUCUCCAUGUACCAUCUAUCAAUAAAAAAUGGCUUGUGUCAAAACCUAUGAAAUCGUCUUGUUAUCAUUAUAGAUAUAUAAUCAUGGUCGAUCCCAAGUUAUCCUAAAACAGACCAAAACAGAAUGAUAAGAUGCUUCAGUUACCAGAAACAGGAUCCAAGAAAGGAAUGUCUUCAUCUUGUUCUUUAGUUAUCAUAUAAUCAACAGACAAAGCUUCCCCCUCUAGAGAUGUUGAUGAUGAUGCUUCUCCCUCCCCUAACGAAAGCUCCAUAUUUAGAGCGGCCAAUCCUGUGUCUGCUACAAUUUGGUCACCGGCUAAGUUGAUAUAUUCUUCAGAUGUUCCCGAUGUCAUCUGCAUUAUAAAUCAAACGAUCGAUUCUAUUAAAUAGUCUGUCUCUAUGGUAUUUCGAUCCUGGAAAAUCAAAUCAAAAGUCAAAAUAUAGCUUUAUAAUUUUCAGCUCUAAUCAAAAGUCAAAAGAUACCCGCAUCCGCUUCUUGCUUCUCGUAGUCUGUUGGUUGUACUCUGUUUCUUGAGAGACAUACAUGAGUCGUACACCGCAUUCUUUGAUCCUAUUGGAGCAACAAAACUUAAACUCCACAUCGUUGAAAGUCAUUUCAGACUCGAACUUGAAGGAACAGAAAAACAGAUGAUCCGUCUUACAAAACUCCAGUUCUUCAUCUUCCAAAAAUGAUUUCUGAUACUGUUUGCCAUUGAAGCCAAAGUUUACCUCCAAAUAUCGAUAAAAACCCUUGCCCUCGGAGAGAGGGUCAACCACGAGACAAGCCUUAAAUCGCAAGAAGGAUUGAGAAAGAGAGCUCCGAGGUAAAGUGACAGUUAGGGAAUCUCCAUAAGCUCGAUACGUGAAAUACUUAGGGAUUUCUCCACCUGGUAAGGCCACAGGCUUGAAGCAUGAUCGUAGGAUGAGCUCUCGCGCAUCUCUAUCCAAUUUGAAGCAAUUACGGAAGCUAAAAUAUUCAGUACCUAAGUCCCAAUCACCAUCACCAUACAACUCACCCCAGAAACGUUCACAUGUAUAUUCAAUGUUUUCAGAUAAUGGUACACAAGAAACGCUAUCUUCCAUUGUCGCUACCACAGUUGCAUCACUCAACGCCUUGAUGACACCUCUACAGUCUGUAAAGUCGGCGAACAUUAGACUUCUCAGUCUGAAAAUGUUUGGGGAGAUGUUUUUCAACCUCUGGCAACAAUACAUCAGUAGUACACGGAGCCUCGUGAAAUCCUCAAUGCAGCAGGGAACUUCUCCAAUGGCGGUGUUUUCCAGAUAGAGCCAUACAAUAUUAGUUGAAAUCAGAGGAAAAGUUCUCAAACUUGAGCAACCACUGAGAUCGAGGAUACCCAGAGAUGACAAGUUGACAUCGGUUGGAAGAACCUCCAGCCCUGUGCAUCUUUUCAUGUACAAACGUCUCAAAUUUUGAAGAUUCCCAAUUGUAGAAGGAAGUGUCACCAAACUUUUGCAGUUGUUGAGUAUCAAAGACUCGAGCUUGGUGGCCUUUGAAAGAUCUAGAAUUUCUUCAAUGGCGGUGUUUUCCAGAUAGAGCCAUUUGAUACUCUUUGAAAUCAGAGGAAAAGUUCUCAAACUUGAGCAACCACUGAGAUCGAGGGUUUCGAGAGAUGACAAGUUGACAUCGGUUGGAAGAACCUCCAGCCCUGUGCAUUCUUUCAUUUCCAACCUCACCAAUUUUUGGAGAUUCCCAAUAGUAGAAGGAAGUGUCACCAAACUUUUGCAGUUGUUGAGAUAUAAAUGCUUCAGAUUGGUGGCCUUUGAAAGAUCUGGAAUUUCUGUCAGGUUUUCAGAUUCUGACAGAUCCAUCUCUUCGAGACUUCCAAGCGACUGAAAAAAACAUUAUCGAUGAUAAUCAUUUUAAUUUUAUACCUAUAUAUGUUUAAAAUUAUAAUUAAACAUUAUUACGUAUGUAUGUAAGACAUAACCGUGGAUCGACCACAAGCCAUAAAAACAAAUUUGGGUAUACUUAAUUAGUUAUAUAACAGAAGGUAAACAAAAAUCAGCAUAGCAUUAACAAUGUACCUGGAUGCCUUCCCAUAGCUUCUCAUGCUUGUAGCACCUCACAUUGAGAAAAACGAGAUAUUCUGGGCGAAAUUCACAAGGCAUACAUCUCAUAAGGCAGUCGAGAUAAUCUAGUCCAGCAGGGAGAUUCUUGUUCCAGAAACAAUCUUCUACCACGAUCUCAUUUCUCCCUUCCGGAAAGUCAACGUCUGAACAUCCCAUUUUGAUUGCUGGGAAAUUUCUCAAAUUCGGGCAUCCAGUGAGAUUGAG